rnacentral:tRNA from 1 species
GGCUCUGUGGUGCAAUGGACAGCACAUUGGACUUCUACUUGGAAAGCUUAGAGGAGUGAUUCAAAGGUUGUGGGUUCGAGUCCCACCAGAGUCA